rnacentral:lncRNA from 1 species
GAGCCUCCCCUAAGCGACGUCCCUUCUCCACUUCACGCCUCCUUCUGCGCAUAUAUGUGCAUCGAUCCCGUCGAUCGGUCGCGUCUUCGUCUUCCUCCUCUCGUCCUCCCCUGUUUUCUUGCAGUUGCGUGGGACGCAGGAAUCCUACAGGAACUGAUCCAUAUAGAGAAGAUCGAGGUCCUGUAGAAUUCCCGGGUUCCCAACUGCAUCCUUCACCGUGAUUUUUCUUCUUUCUUAGUUUCUUUUACCGCGUUGCGCCGGAUGUGUGAGGUCUCGUGUUAAUAACUGUGUGCCUGUGUAUAGAUAUAUGCUUUCUGUGGACCGUGGAGUAUAUGUACGUGCGUGUAUGACACAAUGUACUAAUGUGGAGCGGGAUUGCUAAAUCUGAGUCAUCUGAGUCGACUCAAGACUCAAACCGUAUUACUCCCUCCUUUCCGGUUUAUAGGGCUUGUCUCAAAAUCUUAGUUUUUCCAUUUUAUAAGGCUCAAUUUGGUUGUUCCUCAUCACAAGUUCAGAUUUCAAGGUGUAUUAAAUCAUUACAUGCAACUAUUAAGAGAAAAUUGACCAAUGCAUAUACUUUAUGCAUGCAUGCAUUGCAAUUAAUACAUUGGCAAAUAUAAAUUUUUGAGAAAAACAAGAGCAUUAAUUGGGUGCUUUUGCAAAUUACAAAAAGUAUUCCACCACUUAUCAUCUACCUUGGUUGGUGAGAUUUUUGAAUUGAGCCCUAUAAACCGGAAAGGAGGGAGUAUAUUCGUGAGGUUUUACAUGGAGACCCAUGCAGAAAUUUCCUUUUUAUUUUUAUAUAUUAUGUCACACGACUGAGAAUUGUAUCGAUUAAGAUCUAGCCACACCCAAUGUGAAACCUACUGCACAGCAGAAAUUGCAGACCGCAGGCCGCAGCGCUGCUGCGUGGUGUCCUCAUCCCCGAAUUGGGGCGAGGAAAGAUAAGAAUGUAAUGGAGGUAGAGGGAGAAGCAACGUGACCCCCUUAGGGACCUCUUUAUCAGAGAAGCAUCCACCGCCGCCGACGGGUCCGUUAGGGUUUCGAUUGUAGCACUGCCCCUUCGAAUCUUCCUUGCACAUCAGCAGCCAUCUCGUCGCACACAAAGAUUCACCCUCGGGCGCAAUAAUAGAGGGAUCAAGAGAGAUGGAGUGUGGGGAUGAGUGGAAACGACAGCUGCAAGAGUACCAACGGCGAGAUCGAUGGAGGCAGUCGCGGUGACGGCAUACCUAGGAUUCUCGAGAGGACCCGCAUCCCCGCGCUCCCUUCUCUAGUAUUACCUCCGUUCGAAAAUAAGUGAUGUUGUUAAAAACAACGAACGAAGUACAUUGUAUCGAUUCAUUGUGUCUCUACCUUUAGCUGCUUAGUGGGCUUUCUUCAGCUGGCAGGCCCAAUUAACUAGAGUGCUCAAAUUUUCCAACAAGGAGCUGCCCUAUAGGACAGGUGGCCUAUUUAAUGGAAAUAUGUGGAAUAGCACAACAUCGAACGGCCAGAAACGACCGGAACUCAAAAUCAAAUGGCCAAAAUCACCAAAUGCAUGGGCAGGGAGGUCGUUCAGUUCAAAAGCUCCCCCGUGCGCGUUGGUGCGUGCAUGCGCGUGUGGAUUCACCAUGGCCGUGGCGACUAUGAUGUUCUACAUCAACCAGAUUAAGGCAAAUAAAAGUUGUAACAGAGCAAACCUAGCGCACCCGCAAAGUGCAAAAAUCUCAAAAACUCCUAACUUCCAAGGCAAUACUAAAACAUGAAUUAAACAGAAAGUAAUCACAUAGGACUUGAAUUCUUAGAGAGGACAAGAUGGAGACUCAUUUCUUCAUCACUUAUUAGUAGUUGGAGUACAUAUGCGAAAUAUAAUAUAAUUAAUCAAUACAACCGGAUCCCCCAUAAAAGAAUUGUGCCGAAUCAAUUUUUGAAGGUGUGUAGCAACCCUUCCCAUCGUCAGUAGAUGGCAAAUCAAUAUUGACAAUAUGACUAACACCGUCUACAUCGAUAAACUUGAGAUUACUAAAGGAUGCAGCAUUGCCACUUGUUGAAAGAUAGCCACUUCCCAUUGGAGGACUCAGUCGUGGUUUCUUAUGAUUAACAUAGCCACCAAAGGUUAUCUCCAAAGGUUUAUCUACGAGUCCUGGGAUCAAGGAUUUAGGGAAGUAAUCUACUGGUUUUGGAUCACCCUUAGCUCCAAAAUGGAUGUACCAAUCACCUGAAUAUUUUUCUUGCAUGCAUUUAUCAAUAAAUACACACCAUAUCAUUCCACAUAAGUAAACGAUACCACCAUCGCUCUAGAAUACAUGACAUAUUAAUACCGUUGAAAAGUGCGGUAAAAUUUCUCCAUUGUCUUUCACGAAUAAUUAUUGAAUCAAAUAUUUGUUAUGAGCUUGUACCACUAGAUUUUGCAUGAAAAAUAGUUUCAAGAAGGGAACCUUUUUCCUUGUUUUGAAGCCGCAUUUCCUCUUGAUUUGACUCAAUCAAGUGCUUAUUAUUUUCUAUUUAUCGUCUGCCAUUUUUAUACAGUAUUAUUCGCAAGAAAAUGGUUGCACAAACUUGUGUGUGCAAACGACUAUAAAGAAAGGCAGUAUAUUAUCCUAACUACUUGGACACUCGGGUGCGCAUGCACACACACACAUGCAUACAUAUAAAUACAAGCACGUCUUCCAUUCGGUAACAGAGGGAGUAGUGUAUAAGGUCAAACUAUCUUAAGUCUACAUAUUUAAGUUUUUACACACAAAGAGCAACGGUAUCCACUUAUCGUAAUAUAUCAUAUAUGAUCAUCACUUGUUCGUGUCUAGGCAUAAUUUGGUGCUUGGGCUCCAAAAAAAUAUGAUAAACACUAAAAUGCAAUGAUUCACAUAUAAUUGACAAAGAGUUCAUGAUAAUACAUAAAGCUUUUAUGUACUACCACAAACUAGACUAAGUGCAAUUCUAAGAGAAAGUUACCAAACUUGUUUAGUGACGCCGUACACAAAACAACAAUUGCUUUGUGAUGUCCAAGAUUUUAAUCUUGUUCGAUGUCAACUUGCUUAAUUCCAGUUUGAACAAUCUAGCAUGGAUGUUGCAGUAGCAGGUUCAUACCUUGAAUAUCCUUAGGGUGAUAUAUUUUUUCUGGCCACCAAUGCGUGAAAGUGGACUGAUGACAUUGCCUGGAGCUAUACUUGAUGAUGUCUUGUGAAAUCCAGGGCAAAUCAUGUUCAUGCAGCCCUUGCCAGAAGUUCCACCACUCUAAGAUUGCGAUAUAAUUAGGAAAAUGUGCAAAACAUUUCGAAUAUCACAUUCUUUUUUGAAAAACAUAAUGAAAUGAAAGCGUUCUGAGGGAGUUCAUCAUGGUCGAGUAAAGGGCCACAAGUAUAGAGUUUGAUACCUAGUUGACAAGAUUUUUUCUUCAUGAUAUAUGAAUAACACAAUGACACACAAAUAUACUACUUCUAUACAUAGAUAUCAAAGGGAAUUUAGAUUGGUAUCGCAAAAAACUAUUAAUUUGUAAUUCUAUGAAAAUACUAUCAUGAGAUAUUANNNNNNNNNNNNNNNNNNNNNNNNNNNNNNNNNNNNNNNNNNNNNNNNNNNNNNNNNNNNNNNNNNNNNNNNNNNNNNNNNNNNNNNNNNNNNNNNNNNNNNNNNNNNNNNNNNNNNNNNNNNNNNNNNNNNNNNNNNNNNNNNNNNNNNNNNNNNNNNNNNNNNNNNNNNNNNNNNNNNNNNNNNNNNNNNNNNNNNNNNNNNNNNNNNNNNNNNNNNNNNNNNNNNNNNNNNNNNNNNNNNNNNNNNNNNNNNNNNNNNNNNNNNNNNNNNNNNNNNNNNNNNNNNNNNNNNNNNNNNNNNNNNNNNNNNNNNNNNNNNNNNNNNNNNNNNNNNUCAACCGUUUGAUUGACUACAAGUGGCUCCGAUUUGCAGCCCGUGCUCCAUGCCUGAAUUGGCUCCUUCUUCCUCGGUUCAUUGCCUUCCAAGAGCGCUAGCACCGAUUUGUUUCCCCAAUUAAUUUUGACGUUUCUGCAACACUAUCAAUCUCCCUAAUUAAUUUCCCCAUCAAUUGAUUUUCCAUGACCAUCUACAUCCCCAUGAAACGCGCAAUCUGGAGAAGCAUAUCUUGAGGCCGUGCUCCAUGGAGAGGGUCCAUCACUUAACACAUCCGCAGUUUUAUGGAAGCUCCGCACCUGAAUAUGUUCCUUUUUGCACUAUGGUGUGUCACAUUAGUCAAAGCAUAUCUUGAGGCCGUGCUCCAUGGAGAGGUUCUAUUUCAGAGUUUUCAGCUGUUCUCUUUCUCUACAUUAGUCAUUGUUUGCUCAUAUUCAGGUGCGGAGCUUCCAUAAAACUGCACAUGUGUAGGCGUGUAGUAAACUAUUCAUCAACUCUCAGCUUUUUCAUGAGCUGCACCUAAUGGCCACUUCCUAAUUUCAUGUGUUUGUUCUUCUACAAAAUUAUACUAAAAUAACCCUUUUGUUUUCGUCCACCAAACUGAGGAGACGACAUCUCUUUGGUUUAGUCCUGUCCUUCAAUCCUAUUAAACAAAUCGAGCCAUCACUCGCUGCUGAAAGCAUGUGGGAACUCAUCGCAUUUUGUAAGCUAGACUCCUAUAUCAUUUGCGGUAGUGUUCACGUUGGCAAGUUACACAGGGUUCCAUUCCAUGGUUUAUCUUAAUUCCCUAAUCCUGAAUUCCUUAUAAUUUCGCAAAUCUGAAAGCCAUUGUUAUCAUUGAUGGAUAUUCACCUUGAUCUUUAAUAAGUAACCAAUUAGCCAUCACAGGUCUGGAUACUAAUUCUUCGUAAGAAUGUAAUGAACUUUACUUGCAGUCAAUGCACUUUUAUUUUUCCCUUCUUUUCCUUGCAAAGGGUUUGUUCAAAGCUUUUUAUUAAACUGCAUGAAGUGCAACAGCAACGCGCGGGGAGUGUGUUCGUAGGUGUGGAAUACCUAAAUAAUGUCACUUUGCAAGGAAAUGGAAUACAUUAUAUGACAAGUUAUUGGAUCAUUUUUUAAACAUUACGUAGACCAUAAUUUUAGAAAAGUAAGUCAACUGAUGAUGUCUUGUACAUCUAGAAUGUGCAUGCUUGUACAUCCAACAUUGCUAGUUCCUGGAUUGAGAUAUGAUGGUCUUUGUAGUUUAUGCAACAAACAUAAACACUUCCAUGUAAUCACUCUUAGUCUAUAUUUUAAACACAUAACAUGCACAAUGUAGCUUAUAGAGGUUAGAAAGAAAAAAGUUACAAUCCAAGCUAUGUAGAAAUGGGUCCGAGAAUCCUUGUGCUACGAUGGGAGAAUCUACGCAUAAUUGUUGUAGGUGUUAAUAUAUAUGUACAAAAUAUACAUCCAUUAUAACGAUAAUAUAUAACAUACUUAGUGACUAGAGGUAUGCAUAGAUAUUACAACACUAAUUAACACAAGAAAAAACCGUAAUAAAGUACAACACUAAACAUCGAUAAAUUAACUACAGAUAGCAGGCAAAGAUUAUUAAAGAAAUAUGUAGUCUAUCAAGAGCAAGCUAACUUAAGAAGCUCGUUCACUAGUUAUUGAAUAACUCUUAACAUAGAGUUUAGUUUUUGUGCAUGAUCCUUAACAUAGGCAUGCUCCAUGCACUCAUUUUUAAACUAUGGCGUUGUACAAGAGGAAAAAAGAACUACAUUCAUCUUCAACCAAUAUCUUCGAUGCAAGAAAAUACAUAAUCCUAAUUCUUUCCAGGAAACGUACGUUGUUGAGGUUGGAAAGGAAAACAUGCGUGAUAAUGUGCUAAGAGCAUCUCAGAACAGCAGCCUAUAAUAGGGCACGAAAACACGGUGGAGUAAAAUAAAUUUGGCACGAGCAAGCGUCGUCUCCAUCAGCUGCCCUAAAAUAAGGCACCCAAACAUUCAAAACUGAGCCAACUGUUUUCUCUGAACUUUAUUGUCAAAAGUGAAUUUUACUAUUGAAACUUGUAGAACUGAAACUAAACUGAUUUUUACAAGUACUAGGAGCAGAUAAACUAAACUGAUUUUUACACAUAGUUUAAGAAACCCACUACAUGUGUUUCAAUGAUAAUGAUGUUUGAAAAGUGCAUCCUACAUUUUCCCCAUAAUUUUGUUAGUAUAAUUUUUCAACAAACUAAUGUUAUUCAUAACUCGUACUUGAUUAUAUACGUGAUUUUGAAAUUUCUAUCACACUUCAUUGCUACCAGUAAGAGCUAAUUAACACACAUUAGCUUCUGGGUUGAUUAUGAUGAUUAGCCAUGCUAUCGACUAUUUGGAACUAAAAAAAUUAUAUUCAGCACGCUUAUUUAAUCACACAUUCUUAAUGAAUCGUUUUAUUACAUAAGGUGUGUGUAUAGUAUGUCUUCUCUAAACAACAAAGUUGUACAUAGAAUCUCACUAAUUACAAAUGAAUAUGCCAAGAACUAAAAAUAAGAUCUUAUAACAAAUCAUGCACCCGACCGAUUCUAAUAUUGGAACUUCUAAAAAUUAUUUUGUUAGUAAUGCACAACAUAUGCAAAAAAUCUGGUAUUUUAUCGAUGUUGAGUAGUUUGCUUACUAAGUGUAUUAAACUAAUAUACAUGUAGUUGUACAAGUCACAUAACUUACAUGCCACCCAAUUUGAAUUCCAUUGAGUGAAGAUGGUUGUCCAUCUCCCCUCUAUAGAAUCGAAACCAUAGAUGCACUUUCUUGCCCAUUUUGUAAAUCAAAGCCGUAAACAUCUAGUGUGGCCUCUGCACCAUAAUAAUGCUUAUUGCCACCUCCUGACGGCCAUGUAUGACUUGAGAACUGUUAAAAUGUAAUUAAAAUCAUCUGUGCAUAAGUAGGACACAGAUUGCAUGAUGAUAUCAUACUAAAAAUAUCACAAACAAUAAUGCAAUUAAGGGGAACUUAAUACUCACAUAAGUAAUUUUUGAAUUUUCGACAGAGGUAAGAUUUCCAUUUGGAAUGAAGAAUUCUAGAUGAAUUUCAUAGGACCAUGAAAUUGUCGAGUUUCCUUGCUUUAUAUUGUAGAGCAGGGGACAAAUAAGGAGAGAAUGUAAAAAAUGAUGUGAAUGUUCAUCGCAAUGUCAAUAGAAAAUAAACUGCAAACUUACCUCUUCAAUAGCAUGAAAACAACCUCUUUUAGGUAUGCUACCAAGAAGUAGCACAAUAAAUAGCAUAAUAGGUUGAGGAGAAUUAUCCAUGUAGAAGCCAAACAGAAACACAAGUACCGGUGUAGUGAUGUGCCCUUCAUUGAGGCCCACCCUCUUAAAUAGUGUGAAGCAGUGUGGUGCCUAUAGGAUUCGGUGCGGAAAAUUAGCGAGAGUCAUUUAAAGCUUGGCUAUAAAAAAAGUGCAAUAAAAGAUUUCGUUCCAUAAAAAAUCUUGUUGGAAUAUCUGUUAUUUAAGAAAAAUUAAUGUGGUUCAUUUAUAUCCUAGUGGGAUAUGAUGAUCAUAUAAGAUAUAAGAUAUAUAAAAAUGAAUUCAUUGAAAAGGAGAUUCUAGGAUUUAUGAAAAAAUAAUAAAUAAUCCAUCAUAUACUAUUAAUGAAUAUACAUAGGAAUUAACAUAGGAAAAGACAUAUCUAGGAUUUAAGAAACAAGUUAAUGUCGAGCAUUUAGAACUUUAUCUAUUUAUAUAUAUAGACCGUGUAACAUGCAUCAAUGAAAGGUCAUGCAAAUCUAGAUCAGAGAAGAGAGUAGCACACAAGCAUGAAUACACACACAAAGCAUGAAGGUUCUUGAAGCUCUGUAUUUUUUAACUCCAAAAACUAUAGAUAUUUUAUACGACCACAUUUUUUUUUGUUUUCUCUUAGGGAGCAUAAGAAGGACUUGCAUAUGGUGUUCAUUGACUUGGAGAAGGCCUAUGAUAAGAUACCGCGGAAUGUCAUGUGGUGGGCCUUGGAGAAACACAAAGUCCCAGCAAAGUACAUUACCCUCAUCAAGGACAUGUACAAUAAUGUUGUGACAAGUGUUCGAACAAGUGAUGUCGACACCGAUGACUUCCCGAUUAAGAUAGGACUGCAUCAGGGGUCAGCUUUGAGCCCUUAUCUUUUUGCAUUGGUGAUGGAUGAGGUCACAAGGGGUAUACAAGGAGAUAUCCCAUGGUGUAUGCUCUUUGCGGAUGAUGUGGUGCUAGUUGAUGAUAGUCGGACGGGGAUAAAUAGGAAGUUAGAGUUAUGGAGACAAACCUUGGAAUCGAAAGGGUUUAGGCUUAGUAGAACUAAAACCGAGUACAUGAUGUGCGGUUUCAGUACUACUAGUUGUGAGGAGGAGGAGGUUAGCCUUGAUGGCCAGGUGGUACCUCGGAAGGACACCUUUCGGUAUUUGGGGUCAAUGUUGCAGGAGGAUGGGGGUAUUGAUGAAGAUGUGAACCAUCGAAUCAAAGCCGGAUGGAUGAAGUGGCGCCAAGCUUCUGGCAUUCUCUGUGACAAGAGAGUGCCACAAAAGCUAAAAGGCAAGUUCUACAGGACGGCGGUUCGACCCGCAAUGUUGUAUGGCGCGGAGUGUUGGCCGACUAAAAGGCGACAUGUUCAACAGUUAGGUGUGACGGAGAUGCGUAUGUUGAGAUGGAUGUGUGGCCACACGAGGAAGGAUCGAGUCCGGAAUGAUGAUAUACGAGAUAGAGUUGGGGUAGCACCAAUUGAGGAGAAGCUUGUCCAACAUCGUUUGAGAUGGUUUGGGCAUAUUCAGCGCAGGCCUCCAGAAGCUCCAGUGCAUAGCGGACGGCUAAAGCGUGCGGAGAAUGUCAAGAGAGGGCGGGGUCGACCGAUUUUGACAUGGGAGGAGUCCGUUAAGAGAGACCUGAAGGAUUGGAGUAUCGACAAAGAGCUAGCUAUGGACAGGGGUGCGUGGAAGCUUGCUAUCCAUGUGCCAGAGCCAUGAGUUGGUUGCGAGAUCUUAUGGGUUUCACCUCUAGCCUACCCCAACUUUCUUGGGACUAAAGGCUUUGUUGUUGUUGUUGUUGUUGUUCUCUUAUGGACUAAAUAGUUGAAAACCAAAAAUUUAAGUCAGGGGAACAUAUUUCGAGUCACGAUUGAGAGUGACACAUGCUACCAUUUCCUCAGGUAGUGAUCCCCUUAGGAUCAAUUGGAGUCUCAAGAGGGGGUGAAUAGACAAUCAAAACUGACAGGGCUGGUUAAUUUUAAUAUUGGUUGUCUAGAACAUCCUACGAAUGCAAGUCUAGAAAUAUAAUGAGCGGAACAUAAAAUUGCAAGAAUGUAAUGGGUGUAGGGUAAAGAGAAGCAGACGUUGAUCCCCCCCCCCCCAAGUUCAGAUAGUUGGUGUUGUUGUACGUCCUCGUUGGUGGAGGUUCGAUCCACAAGCCAAUUUAUUAGGAAUGUUGGAUGAAAGCGGUUUGCAAUGUUUUGUAAAUGAAAGAGGUUUGCAAUGUUUUACUUUGUAAAAACAUGUAGUUGGAUUCUUUUUUUUGUAAUUACUACCACAGAAUAGAAGUUCAACUAUUUUAGUUGGGCUGCUAUGGGACUUUUUUGCAUGCACUACACUUGCAGUCAGCCAAUCGUUAUCUGUUAUCUUUAUUCAUGUGUAUAAUUUCCCCAUUUUCUAUCACAUUUUGCCAGGUGGCCUUAUUCGCGCUCUUCUCUUGGCUGCCAUUCAGGCCUCCAUUGUUCGCGGUUUGAAUCCUUGUGUUGCUCGGAUCCCUGGAGCGUACAAUUUUUUAUAUGGAAACGGAAGCGGAGGGACUUGGACCGUACUCGGAUAGAUAAAUAAAUGGGUUGUCUACGAUCUGUUAGAUAAAGGACCCCGAUAAAUUCUGAACGUACGGAUUUUAAGCAUGUCAUCGCCAACAUUUUUUCAUGGCAAGUUUAGUUGACACGAGAUGGCAACUUUAGUUAUUAAACAUGGCAACUUUGUCUCAGUUCAUUUUUUGUCAGAAAAUUACCAUGUUUGCCAACCUCGCGUGAACAGUUGCCAUGGAAAACAUUUCGGAAUGUCAUGCUUAAAAUUCAAAUUACACAUCAACAGGGAAAGAAAGGCCACUUCCUCGGCUAUGCCACGUCGGAUUUGAAAUGGUGACACGAGAGAGAAAGCGAGAAAAUCAGCGACCCGAAGUUGGAGAAUACGAAGCCUCACGUUUCAUCUACCUGUCCUCGUUCCACCCAGCCGCUAGGGUUCCCGCCGCCACCAUCCCGUCCAUCCCAUCUUGGCUCCUCCAACGCCGGCCACUGGAGAGGGCAAGGCAUGCCGCUCCCAAACUUUCUCCUCUUCGCAGCAAGGUGUGCCACUCCACCUGGUCGCAAUGGUGGUGGUAAAGGAGGAGGAAGGGAAUGACAUGGCGGAGAUGAAUGGGGAAAAUGUUAGUAGCGUCAUCAUCUUCUUGCUCACGCUUUUGCAGCCUUCCAAUCUCUCCCCCUUCGAGUCAGACAUCGCCUCCUCUUCUCCCCUUCCUCACAGCCUGGUGUUCCCGCUGCCUCACAUCGGCGAUCCAAGGAUGAGCACCGGACCUGGCAGGAGGAGCUCGAGCCGGCGCGGUGGUACGCAUCACCAUCACCGACUUCCUCGGUAGGAGCAGUGCGGGCUGUACAAACAGUCGGCUCUGUCCUGCUCUAGCACCGUCGUAGGUGCAUGACGACAGGGUGCACACGCUCUUCCCUUCUUCCUAAUUUUUUUCAACGGGGGAAGCACGAUGCAAGUACACAUGCUCUUCCCUUCUUCCUGAUUUUUCCUCCCCUUCUUUCGGUGCUCUACUCUUAGAGCUUCACUUCUUUGUUUGUACAUAUUUUGCUUCUCUAUGCCUACAAGGUGUUUUAAGAAAAAACAGGAAGAUUGACAAUGUUCUAUGUAAGUCGUGAGAUUUCAUUUUUUUUAAAUUUAGUUCAAGUCCAUGAUAGUAAGUUAACUAGUCUGAUAUGCCCAUACAGAUUGUUUCAUUUUUCUACAGGGUCACAAGCUUAACGUAAUCACGAUAUGUUGAGUGUUAGUAUGACGGGAAUAAUGAUAAUAUAUUUGUGAAAUAGUUUCAUGAAUAUUCGGAAUAGUUUUAAGAGGAACCAGAAGGUUUCAGAGUUUAUUGGGCAAUACCGGAUAUUUACAAUAAAUAAUAUAUAGGUGGAAAUGUUCCGGUGAUGUUAAAUUACUAAUAAAAACCUCUAGUAAUUGUUAGGAAGCUUUUAUAUUUAAUUUAAUAUCAACAAGCCUUAAAAGGCCAAGUGGUGAAAGUAGAAUUGGGCCACAAGGGCCAAUAGGGGUGGCACGCCCUCUCCCAUGGAAAGAAGGGAGGGAAGGACGAAUUGGGGACGGGUUCCCCCUUGCCUAGGCCGGCGCAAGGGGAGGAGGAGGAAUCCCCCUUGUGUGGCACCCCCUCCUCUCCCUCCAACCUAUAUAUACUAGAGGCUUCGGCACUUUUUGAACACACAAGUUUGGACCCUCCUCUAGUUCUUUAAUUCUAUUUCUAGUUGGUCCUAGUUGAUCAAUUAGAGCUAGACCUAGAUCCUCUAGUCCUCAUAAUUAGAAGUCCAUUGUGGUUAUAAUUUCCUCCCUCUAAUUCUCCAACAACGAUUAGCUCUGGUCGGCGAAGCGUGCCAGAUCGUGAAGACCGUGCACUUGCAACUCGUAGAGAGGUUGUGCUUUCGGUCUUCUAUUCGAGGGACUGUUUGUGGGGUGUUUGUGGGUUCAUUCAUCUACGGUUCGGGGGAGUACAAGUAUGAUCUACAUUAACUCGUCUUCUUCUGCCACAACUCGGAGUCGAUAUGAUCAAAUUCAAAUUGUUAAUGCAUCUUCAUAUUGUUUCUGUGUGAUUGUAGGGCGAAUGUUUUUUGUUUUCUACUAUGUUUCUCAACACGAUGGUUGCUACCUCUUGAGCACUGCGUUGGUUUUCCCCGAAGAGGAAGGGAUCAUGCAGCAAAGUAGCGUAAGUAUUUCUCUCAGUUUUUGAGAACCAAGGUAUCAAUCCAGUAGGAGGCUACGCGCAAGUCCCUCGCACCUGCACAAAACAAAUAAAUCCUCACAACCAACACAAAUAGGGGUUGUCAAUCCCUAUAGGGCCACUUACGAGAGUGAGAUCUGAUAGAUAUGAUAAUAUAAUAUUUUUAGUAUUUUUAUGAUAAAGAUGCAAAGUAAAAUAAAGGCAAAGUAAAUAACUAAGAAGUAGGAGAUUAAUAUGAUAAAGAUAGACCCGGGGGCCAUAGGUUUCACUAGUGGCUUCUCUCAAGAGCAUAAGUAUUCUAUGGUGGGUGAACAAAUUACUGUUGAGCAAUUGACAGAAUUGAGCAUAGUUACGAGAAUAUCAAGGUAUGAUCAUGUAUAUAGGCAUAUCACGUCCGAGACAAGUAGACCGACUCCUGCCAGCAUCCACUAGUAUUACUCCACUCAUCGACCGCUAUCCAGCAUGCAUCUAGAGUAUUAAGUUAAAAACAGAGUAACGCCUUAAGCAAGAUGACAUGAUGUAGAGGGAUAGACUCAUGCAAUAUUAAGAAAACCCCAUCUUGUUAUCCUCGAUGGCAACAAUACAAUACGUGCCUUGCUGCCCCUACUGUCACUGGGAAAGGACACCGCAAGAUUGAACUCAAAGCUAAGCACUUCUCCCAUUGCAAGAAAGAUCAAUCUAGUAGGCCAAACCAAACUGAUAAUUCGAAGAGACUUGCAAAGAUAACCAAUCAUACAUAAAAGAAUUUAGAGAAGAUUUAAAUAUUAUUCAUAGAUAGACUUGAUCAUAAACCCACAAUUCAUCGGUCUCAACAAACACACCAUAAAAAGAAGAUUACAUCGAAUAGUUCUCCAUAAGAGAGGGGGAGAACAUUGUAUUGAGAUCCAAAAAGAGAGAAGAAGCCAUCUAGCUACUAACUAUGGACCCGUAGGUCUGAGGUAAACUACUCACACUUCAUCGGAGAGGCUAUGGUGUUGAUGUAGAAGCCCUCCAUGAUCGAUGCCCCUCCGGCGGAGCUCCAGAAUAGGCCCCAAGCUGGGAUCUCGUGGAUACAGAAAGUUGCGGCGGUGGAAUUAGUGUUUUGGCUCCGUAUCUGAUCGUUUGGGGGUACGUAGGUAUAUAUAAGAGGAAGAAGUACGUCGGGGAGCAACAGGGGGGCCACGAGGGUGGAGGGCGUGCCUGGGGUAGGCAGGUGCGCCCCCUACCUCGUGGCCUCCCGUUGUGUGCCUUGAUGUAGGGUCCAAGUCUCCUGAGUCUUAUUCGAUGGGAAAAUCACGUUCCUGAAGGUUUCAUUCCGUUUGGACUCCAUUUGAUAUUCCUUUUCUUCGAAACCCUAAAAUAGGCAAAAAAACAACAAUUCUGGGCCGGGCCUCCGGUUAAUAGGUUAGUCCCAAAAAUAAUAUAAAAGUGGAUAAUAAAGCCCAAUAAUGUCCAAAAUAGUAGAUAAUAUAGCAUGGAGCAAUCAAAAAUUAUAGAUACAUUGAAGACGUAUCAAGCAUCCCCAAGCUUAAUUCCUGCUCGUCCUCGAGUAGGUAAAUGAUAAAAACAGAAUUUUUGAUGUGGAGUGCUACUUGGCAUAAUUUUAAUGCAAUUCUUCUUAAUUGUGGUAUGAAUAUUCAGAUCCGAAAGAUUCAAGACAAAAGUUCAUAUUGACAUAAAAAUAAUAAUACUUCAAGCAUACUAACAAAGCAAUUAUGUCUUCUCAAAAUAACAUGGCUAAAGAAAGUUAUCCCUACAAAAUCAUAUAGUCUGUCUAUGCUCUAUCUUCACCACACAAAAUAUUUAAAUCAUGCACAACCCUGAUGGUAAGCCAAGCAAUUGUCAAUCUUCACGCAAUACAUGAGCAUGAGCCAUGGAUAUAGCACUAUAGGUGGAAUAGAAUGGUGGUUGUGGAGAAGACAAAAAGGAGAAGAUAGUCUCACAUCAACUAGGCGCAUCAACGGGCUAUGGAGAUGCCCAUCAAUAGAUAUCAAUGUGAGUGAGUAGGGAUUGCCAUGCAACGGAUGCACUAGAUCUAUAAGUAUAUGAAAGAUCGAAAAGAAACUAAGUGGGUGUGCAUCCAACUUGCUUGCUCAUGAAGACCUAGGGCAAUUUGAGGAAGCCCAUCAUUGGAAUAUACAAGCCAAGUUCUAUAAUGAAAAAUUCCCAUUAGUAUAUGAAAGUGAUAACAUGAGAGACUCUCUACUAUGAAGAUCAUGGUGCUACUUUGAAGCACAAGUGUGGUAAAAUGAUAGUAACAUUGUCCCUUCUCUCUUUUUCUCUCAUUUUUUUCUUUUCCUUUUUUUUAUUUGGGCCUUUUCUCUUUUUUAUGGCCUCUUUUCUUUCUCUCUUUUUUUAUUUUUCGUCCAGAGUCUCAUCCCGACUUGUGGGGGAAUCAUAGUCUCCAUCAUCCUUUCCUCACUGGGACAAUGCUCUAAUAAUGAUGAUCAUCACACUUUUAUUUUUCUUACAACUCAACAAUUACAACUCGAUACUUAGAACAAAAUAUGACUCUAUAUGAAUGCCUCCGGCGGUGUACCAGGAUAUGCAAUGACUCAUGAGUGACAAGUAUGAAAGAAUUAUGAACGGUGGCUUUGCCACAAAUACUAUGUCAACUACAUGAUCAUGCUAAGCAAUAUGACAAUGAUGGAGUGUGUCAUAGACGGAAUAGUGGAAAGUUGCAUGGCAAUAUAUCUCGGAAUGGCUAUGGAAAUGCCAUAUAGGUAGGUAUGGUGGCUGUUUUGAGGAAGGUAUAUGGUGGGUGUAUGAUACCGGUGAAAGGUGCGCGGUAUUAGAGAGGCUAGCAAACGUGGAAGGGUGAGAGUGUUGGAAAUAUGCCCUAGAGGCAAUAAUAAAAGCAUUAUUAUUAUAUUUCCUUGUUCAUGAUAAUUGUCUUUAUUCAUGCUAUAAUUGUGUUAUCCGGAAAUCGUAAUACAUGUGUGAAUAACAGACACCAACAUGUCCCUAGUAAGCCUCUAGUUGACUAGCUCGUUGAUCAACAGAUAGUCAUGGUUUCCUGACUAUGGACAUUGGAUGUCAUUGAUAACGAGAUCACAUCAUUAGGAGAAUGAUGUGAUGGACAAGACCCAAUCCUAAACAUAGCACAAGAUCGUAUAGUUCGUUUGCUAGAGUUUUUCCAAUGUCAAGUAUCUUUUCCUUAGACCAUGAGAUCGUGUAACUCCCGGAUACCGUAGGAGUGCUUUGGGUAUACCAAACGUCACAACGUAACUGGGUGACUAUAAAGGUAGACUACGGAUACCUCCGAAAGUGUUUGUUGGGUUGACAUGGAUCAAGACUGGGAUUUGUCACUCCGUAUGACGGAGAGGUAUCACUGGGCCCACUCGGUAAUGCAUCAUCAUAAUGAGCUCAGAGUGACCAAGUGUCUGGUCACGGGAUCAUGCAUUACGGUACGAGUAAAGUGACUUGCCGGUAACGAGAUUGAACGAGGUAUUGGGAUACCGACGAUCGAAUCUCGGGCAAGUAACAUAUCGAUUGACAAAGGGAAUUGCAUACGGGGUUGCUUGAAUCCUCGACAUCGUGGUUCAUCCGAUGAGAUCAUCGUGGAGCAUGUGGGAGCCAACAUGGGUAUCCAGAUCCCGAUGUUGGUUAUUGACCGGAGAGCGAUCUCGGUCAUGUCUACAUGUCUCCCGAACCCGUAGGGUCUACACACUUAAGGUUCAGUGACGCUAGGGUUGUAGGGAUAUGUAUAUGCAGUAACCCGAAUGUUGUUCGGAGUCCCGGAUGAGAUCCCGGAUGUCACAAGGAGUUACGGAAUGGUCCGGAGGUAAAGAAUUAUAUAUAGGAAGUGCUAUUUCGUCCAUCGGGACAAGUUUCGGGGUCAUCGGUAUUGUACCGGGACCACCGGAAGGGUCCCGGGGGGUCCACCGGGUAGGGCCACCUGCCCCGGGGGCCACAUGGGCUGUAGGGGGUGCGCCUUGGCCUACAUGGGCCAAGGGCACCAGCCCCAAGAGGCCCAUGCGCCUAGGGUUCACAAAAGGGAAGAGUCCCACUAGUGGAAGGCACCUCCUAGGUGCCUUGGGGGGGAGGGAAACCUCCCUUGGCCGCCGCCCCCCCCUAGGAGAUUGGAUCUCCUAGGGCCGGCGCCCCCCCUUGGCCCUCCUAUAUAUAGUUGGGGAAGGAGGGCUUUUCAUCCACGCCUUUGGUUGCCUCCUUCUCCCUCUCCAACACCUCCUCCUCCUCCAUAGUGCUUGGCGAAGCCCUGACAGAGUACUGCAGCUCCACCAUCACCACGCCGUCGUGUUGCUGCUGGAGCCAUCUUCCUCAACCUCUCCUUCCCUCUUGCUGGAUCAAGAAGAAGGAGACGUUACGCUGACUGUACGUGUGUUGAACGCGGAGGUGCCGUCCGUUUGGCGCUAGGAUCUUCGGUGAUUCGAAUCACGUCGAGUACGACUCCCUCAUCCCCGUUCUUUGAACGCUUCCGCUCGCGAUCUACAAGGUACGUAGAUGCAUCCAAUCGCUCAUUGCUAGAUGAACUCAUAGAUGGAUCUUGGUGAAGCCGUAGGAAAAAUUUUGUUUUCUGCAACGUUCCCAUACAAGUGGCAUCAUGAGCUAGGUCUAUGCGUAGUUCUUCUUGCGCGAGUAGAACACAAUUUGUUGUGGGCGUAGAUGUUGUCAACUUUCUUGCCGUUACUAGUCUUAUCUUGUUUCAACGGUAUUGUGGGAUGAAGUGGCCCAGACCAACCUUACACGUACGCUUACGUGAGACCGGUUCCACCGACUAACAUGCACUAGUUGCAUAAGGUGGCUGGCGGGUGUCUGUCUCUCCUACUUUAAUUGGAGCGGAUUCGAUGAAAAGGGUCCUUAUGAAAGGUAAAUAGAAGUUGACAAAUCACGUUGUGGCUUUCACGUAGGUAAGAAAACGUUCUUGCUAGAACCCUAUUGCAGCCACGUAAAACUUGCAACAACAAUUAGAGGACGUCUAACUUGUUUUUGCAGCAAGUGCUUUGUGAUAUGAUAUGGCCAAAGUUGUGAUGAAUGAUGAAUGAUAUAUAUGUGAUGUAUGAGAUGUUCAUGCUAUUGUAAUAGGAAUCACGACUUGCAUGUCGAUGAGUAUGACAACCGGCAGGAGCCAUAGGAGUUGUCUUUAUUUUUUAUAUGACCUGCGUGUCAUUGAGAAACGCCAUGUAAAUUACUUUACUUUAUUGCUAAACGCGUUAGCCAUAGUAAUAGAAGUAAUAGUUGGCGAGCAACUUCAUGGAGACACAAUGAUGGAGAUCAUGGUGUCAAGCCGGUGACAAGAUGAUCAUGGAGCCCCAAGAUGGAGAUCAAAGGAGCUAUGUGAUAUUGGCCAUAUCAUGUCACUAUUAUUAUUUGAUUGCAUUUGAUGUUUAUCAUGUUUUGCAUCUUGUUUACUUAGAACGACGGUAGUAAAUAAGAUGCUCCCUCAUAAUAAUUUCAAGAAAGUGUUCCCCCUAACUGUGCACCGUUGCGACAGUUCAUUGUUUCAAUGCACCACGUGAUGAUCGGGUGUUUGAUUCAAACGUUCACAUACAACGGGUGUAAGACAGAUUUACACAUGCAAACACUUAGGUUGACUUGACGAGCCUAGCAUGUGUAUAGACAUGGCCUCGGAACACAGAAGACCGAAAGGUCGAGCAUGAGUCAUAUAGAAGAUACGAUCAACAUGAAGAUGUUCACCGACGUUGACUAGUCCGUCUCACGUGAUGAUCGGACACGGCCUAGUUGACUCGGAUCAUGUUAUACUUAGAUGACUAGCAGAGGGAUGUCUAUCUAAGUGGGAGUUCAUUGAAUAAUUUGAUUAGAUGAACUUCAUUAUCAUGAACUUAGUCUAAAAAUCUUUGCAAUAUGUCUUGUAGAUCAAAUGGCCAACGUAGUCCUCAACUUCAACGCGUUCCUAGAGAAAACCAAGCUGAAAGAUGAUGGCAGCAACUAUACGGACUGGGUCCGGAACCUGAGGAUCAUCCUCAUAGCUGCCAAGAAAGAAUAUGUCCUACAAGCAUCGCUAGGUGACGCACCCGUCCCACAGAACCAAGACGUUAUGAACGCUUGGCAGACACGUGCCGAUGACUACUCCCUCGUUCAGUGCGGCAUGCUUUACAGCCUAGAGCCGGGGCUCCAAAAGCGUUUUGAGAGACAUGGAGCAUAUGAGAUGUUCGAAGAGCUGAAAAUGGUUUUCCAAGCUCAUGCCCGGGUCUAGAGAUAUGAAGUCUCUGACAAAUUCUUCAGCUGUAAGAUGGAGGAAAAUAGUUCUGUCAGUGAGCACAUACUCACUAUGUCUGGGUUACAUAACCGCUUGACUCAGCUAGGAGUUAAUCUCCCGGAUGAUGCGGUCAUUGACAGAAUCCUCCAGUCGCUUCCACCAAGCUACAAGAGCUUUGUGAUGAACUUCAAUAUGCAGGGGAUGGAAAAGACCAUUCCUGAGGUAUUUUCAAUGCUAAAAUCAGCAGAGGUAGAAGUCAAGAAGGAACAUCAAGUGUUGAUGGUGAAUAAAACCACUAAGUUCAAGAAGGGCAAGGGUAAAAAGAACUUCAAGAAGGACGGCAAAGGAGUUGCCGCGCCUGGCAAGCAAGCUGCUGGGAAGAAGCCAAAGAAUGGACCCAAGCCCGAGACUGAGUGCUUUUAUUGCAAGGGAAGUGGUCACUGGAAGCGGAACUGCCCCAAAUACUUAGCAGACAAGAAGGCCGGCAAAACAAAAGGUAUAUAUGAUAUACAUGUAAUUGAUGUGUACCUUACUAGUACCCGUAGUAGCUCCUGGGUAUUUGAUAUCGGUGCAGUUGCUCACAUUUGUAACUCAAAGCAGGGGCUGCGGAAUAAGCGGAGACUGGCAAAAGACGAGGUGACGAUGCAUGUCGGGAAUGGUUCCAAGGUCAAUGUGAUCGCCGUCGGCACGCUACCUCUACAUUUACCUUCGGGAUUAGUUUUAAACCUUAAUAAUUGUUAUUUAGUGCCAGCUUUGAGCAUGAACAUUGUAUCGGGAUCUCGUUUAAUUCGAGAUGGCUACUCAUUUAAAUCCGAGAAUAAUGGUUGUUCUAUUUAUAUGAGAGAUAUGUUUUAUGGUCAUGCUCCUAUGGUGAAUGGUUUAUUCUUAAUGAAUCUCGAGCGUAAUGCUACACAUAUUCAUAGCGUGAGUACCAAAAGAUGUAAAGUUGAUAAUGAUAGUCCCACAUACUUGUGGCACUACCGCCUUGGUCACAUAGGUGUCAAACGCAUGAAGAAGCUCCAUGCAGAUGGACUUUUAGAGUCUCUUGAUUACGAAUCAUUUGACACGUGCGAACCAUGCCUCAUGGGUAAGAUGACCAAGACUCCAUUCUCAGGAACAAUGGAGCGAGCAACCAACUUAUUGGAAAUCAUACAUACUGAUGUGUGCGGUCCAAUGAGUGUUGAGGCUCGCGGUGGCUAUCGUUAUGUUCUCACCCUCACUGAUGAUUUGAGUAGAUAUGGGUAUAUCUACUUAAUGAAACACAAGUCUGAAACCUUUGAAAAGUUCAAGGAAUUUCAGAGUGAGGUUGAGAAUCAACGUGACAGGAAAAUCAAGUUUCUACGAUCAGAUCGUGGAGGAGAAUACUUGAGUCACGAAUUUGGCACACACUUAAGAAAAUGUGGAAUAGUUUCACAACUCACGCCGCCUGGAACACCUCAACGUAAUGGUGUGUCCGAACGUCGUAAUCGCACUCUAUUAGAUAUGGUACGAUCUAUGAUGUCUCUUGCCGAUUUACCAUUAUCUUUUUGGGGGUAUGCUUUAGAGACUGCCGCAUUCACUUUAAAUAGGGCUCCAUCGAAAUCUGUUGAGACGACACCGUUUGAAUUAUGGUUUGGGAAGAAACCUAAGCUGUCGUUUCUAAAAGUUUGGGGAUGCGAUGCUUAUGUCAAGAAACUUCAACCUGAAAAGCUGGAACCCAAGUCGGAAAAAUGCGUCUUCAUAGGAUACCCUAAAGAAACUGUUGGGUAUACCUUCUACCUCAGAUCCAAAGGCAAGAUCUUUCUUGCCAAGAAUGGAUCCUUUCUAGAGAAAGAGUUUCUCUCGAAAGAAGUAAGUGGGAGGAAAGUAGAACUUGAUGAAGUAUUACCUCUUGAACCGAAAAAUGGCGCAAUUCAAGAAAAUGUUCCUGAGGUGCCUGCACCGACUAGAGAGGAAGUUAAUGAUAAUGAUCAAGAUACUUCUGAUCAAGCUCCUACUGAAAUUCGAAGGUCCACAAGGACACGUUCCGCACCAGAGUGGUACGACAACCCUGUCUUAGAAAUCAUGUUGUUAGACAACGGUGAACCUUCGAACUAUGAAGAAGCGAUGGCGGGCCCGGAUUCCGACAGAUGGCUGGAAGCCAUGAAAUCCGAGAUAGGAUCCAUGUAUGAAAACAAAGUAUGGACUUUGACUGACUUGCCCGUUGAAUGGCGAGCCAUAGAAAAUAAAUGGAUCUUUAAGAAGAAGACAGACGCGGAUGGUAAUGUGACCAUCUAUAAAGCUAGGCUUGUCGCUAAGGGUUAUCGACAAGUUCAAGGGGUUGACUACGAUGAGGCUUUCUCACCGGUAGCGAAGCUAAAGUCCGUCCGAAUCAUGUUAGCAAUUGCCGCAUUAUACGAUUAUGAAAUAUGGCAAAUGGACGUCAAAACGGCAUUCCUUAAUGGUUUCCUUAAGGAAGAAUUGUAUAUGAUGCAGCCGGAAGGUUUUGUCGAUCCUAAGAAUGCUAACAAGGUGUGCAAGCUCCAACGCUCGAUUUAUGGGCUGGUGCAAGCAUCUCAGAGUUGGAACAUUCGUUUUGAUGAGAUGAUCAAAGCGUUUGGGUUUACGCAGACUUAUGGAGAAGCCUGCGUUUACAAGAAAGUGAGUGGGAGCUCUGUAGCAUUUCUCAUACUAUAUGUAGAUGACAUACUUUUGAUGGGAAAUGAUAUAGAACUCUUGGACAGCAUUAAGGCCUACUUGAAUAAGAGUUUUUCAAUGAAGGACCUUGGAGAAGCUGCUUAUAUAUUAGGCAUCAAGAUCUACAGAGAUAGAUCAAGACGCCUCAUAGGUCUUUCACAAAGCACAUACCUUGAUAAGAUAUUGAAGAAGUUCAAUAUGGAUCAGUCUAAGAAGGGGUUCUUGCCUGUGUUGCAAGGUGUAAAAUUGAGCUCAGCUCAAUGUCCGACCAUGGCAGAAGAUAUAGAAGAGAUGAGUGUCAUCCCCUAUGCCUCAGCCAUAGGUUCUAUUAUGUAUGCCAUGUUGUGUACCAGACCUGAUGUAAACCUUGCCGUAAGUUUGGUAGGAAGGUACCAAAGUAAUCCCGGCAAGGAACACUGGACAGCGGUCAAGAAUAUCCUAAAGUACCUGAAAAGGACUAAGGAAAUGUUUCUCGUUUAUGGAGGUGACGAAGAGCUCGUCGUAAAGGGUUACGUCGACGCUAGCUUCGACACAGAUCUGAAUGACUAAGUCUCAAACCGGAUACGUGUAUAUUUUGAAUGGUGGGGCAGUAAGCUGGUGCAGUUGCAAGCAGAGCGUUGUGGCGGGAUCUACAUGUGAAGUGGAGUACAUGGCAGCCUCGGAGGCAGCACAUGAAGCAAUUUGGGUGAAGGAGUUCAUCACCGACCUAGGAGUCAUACCCAAUGCGUCGGGGCCAAUCAAACUCUUCUGUGACAACACUGGUGCUAUUGCACUUGCCAAGGAGCCCAGGUUUCACAAGAAGACAAGGCACAUCAAGCGUCGCUUCAACUCCAUUCGUGAAAAUGUUCAAGAUGGAGACAUAGAUAUCUGUAAAGUGCACACGGACCUGAAUGUAGCAGAUCCGUUGACUAAACCUCUCCCUAGAGCAAAACAUGAUCAACACCAGAAUUCCAUGGGUGUUCGAUUCAUCACAAUGUAACUAGAUUAUUGACUCUAGUGCAAGUGGGAGACUGUUGGAAAUAUGCCCUAGAGGCAAUAAUAAAAGCAUUAUUAUUAUAUUUCCUUGUUCAUGAUAAUUGUCUUUAUUCAUGCUAUAAUUGUGUUAUCCGGAAAUCGUAAUACAUGUGUGAAUAACAGACACCAACAUGUCCCUAGUAAGCCUCUAGUUGACUAGCUCGUUGAUCAACAGAUAGUCAUGGUUUCCUGACUAUGGACAUUGGAUGUCAUUGAUAACGAGAUCACAUCAUUGGGAGAAUGAUGUGAUGGACAAGACCCAAUCCUAAACAUAGCACAAGAUCGUAUAGUUCGUUUGCUAGAGUUUUUCCAAUGUCAAGUAUCUUUUCCUUAGACCAUGAGAUCGUGUAACUCCUGGAUACCGUAGGAGUGCUUUGGGUAUACCAAACGUCACAACGUAACUGGGUGACUAUAAAGGUAGACUACGGGUAUCUCCGAAAGUGUCUAUUGGGUUGACAUGGAUCAAGACUGGGAUUUGUCACUCCGUAUGACGGAGAGGUAUCACUGGGCCCACUCGGUAAUGCAUCAUCAUAAUGAGCUCAGAGUGACCAAGUGUCUGGUCAUGGGAUCAUGCAUUACGGUACGAGUAAAGUGACUUGCCGGUAACGAGAUUGAACGAGGUAUUGGGAUACCGACGAUCGAAUCUCGGGCAAGUAACAUAUCGAUUGACAAAGGGAAUUGCAUAUGGGGUUGCUUGAAUCCUCGACAUCGUGGUUCAUCCGAUGAGAUCAUCAUGGAGCAUGUGGGAGCCAACAUGGGUAUCCAGAUCCCGCUGUUGGUUAUUGACCGGAGAGCGAUCUCGGUCAUGUCUACAUGUCUCCCGAACCCGUAGGGUCUACACACUUAAGGUUCGGUGACGCUAGGGUUGUAGGGAUAUGUAUAUGCAGUAACCCGAAUGUUGUUCGGAGUCCCGGAUGAGAUCCCGGACGUCACGAGGAGUUCCGGAAUGGUCCGGAGGUAAAGAAUCAUAUAUAGGAAGUGCUAUUUCGGCCAUCGGGACAAGUUUCGGGGUCAUCGGUAUUGUACCGGGACCACCGGAAGGGUCCCGGGGGGUCCACCGGGUGGGGCCACCUGCCCCGGGGGCCACAUGGGCUGUAGGGUCUGCGCCUUGGCCUACAUGGGCCAAUGGCACCAGCCCCAAGAGGCCCAUGCGCCUAGGGUUCACAAAAGGGAAGAGUCCCACUAGUGGAAGGCACCUCCUAGGUGCCUUGGGGGGGAGGGAAACCUCCCUUGGCCGCCCCCCCCCCUAGGAGAUUGGAUCUCCUAGGGCCGGCGCCCCCCCCCCCUUGGCCCUCCUAUAUAUAGUGGGGGAAGGAGGGCUUUUCAUCCAUGCCUUUGGUUGCCUCCUUCUCCCUCUCCAACACCUCCUCCUCCUCCAUAGUGCUUGGCGAAGCCCUGACGGAGUACUGCAGCUCCACCAUCACCACGCCGUCGUGUUGCUGCUGGAGCCAUCUUCCUCAACCUCUCCUUUCCUCUUGCUGGAUCAAGAAGAAGGAGAUGUUACGCUGACUGUACGUGUGUUGAACGCGGAGGUGCCGUCCGUUCGGCGCUAGGAUCUUUGGUGAUUCGAAUCACGUCGAGUACGACUCCCUCAUCCCCGUUCAUUGAACGCUUCCGCUCGCGAUCUACAAGGUACGUAGAUGCAUCCAAUCGCUCGUUGCUAGAUGAACUCAUAGAUGGAUCUUGGUGAAGCCGUAGGAAAUUUUUUGUUUUCUGCAACGUUCCCCAACAGAGAGUGCGUAUAAUCGAUGGACUCAACAUUAGUCAUAAAGAACUCAUAUACUUAUUGCAAAAAUCUACAAGUUAUCAAAGCAAAGUAUUACGCACAUGCUCCUAGGGGGGUAGAUUGGUAGGAAAAGACCAUCGCUCGUCCCCGACCGCCACUCAUAAGGAAGACAAUCAAUAAAUAAAUCAUGCUCCAACUUCAUCACAUAACGGUUCACCAUACGUGCAUGCUACGAGAAUCACAAGCUUCAACACAAUUAUUUCUCAAAUUCACAACUACUCAACUAGCACAACUUUAAUAUCACCAUCUUUAUAUCUCCAAACAAUUAUCAAGUAUCAAACUUAUCAUAGUAUUCAACACACUCAUAAGAAAGUUUUAUUAUUAAUCUUGCAUACCAAGCAUAUUAGGAUUUUAAGCAAAUUACUAAAAAUAAUCUAAGUGAAGCAUGAGAGAUCAAUAGUUUCUAUAAAACAAAUCCACCAUCGUGCUCUAAAAGAUAUAAGUGAAGUACUAGAGCAAAAUUAUAUAACUCAAAAGAUAUAAGCGAAGCACAUAGAGUAUUCUAACAAAUUCCAAAUCAUGUAUGGCUCUCUCAAAAUGUGUGUACAGCAAGGAUGAUUGCGGUAAACUAACAAGCAAAGACUCAAAUCGUACAAGACGCUCCAAGUAAAACACAUAUCAUGUGGCGAAUAAAAAUAUAGCUCCAAGUAAAGUUACCGAUAGAAGUAGACGAAAGAGGGGGUGCCUUCCGGGGCAUCCCCAAGCUUUGGCUUUUAGGUGUCCUUAGAUUAUCUUGGGGGUGCCAUGGGCAUCCCCAAGAUUAGGCUCUUGCCACUCCUUGUUCCAUAAUCCAUCAAAUCUUUACCCAAAACUUGAAAACUUCACAACACAAAACUUAAAGUAGAAAAUCUCGUGAGCUCCGUUAGCGAAAUAGAAUAAAAGAUCACUUCAAGGUACUGUAAUGAAAUCAUUCUUUAUUUAUAUUGGUGUUAUACCUACUGUAUUCCAACUUCUCUAUGGUUUAUAAACUAUUUUACUAGCCAUAGAUUCAUCAAAAUAAGCAAACAACACACGAAAAACAGAAUCUGUCAAAAACAGAACAGUCUGUAGUAAUAUGUAGCUAGCGCAAGAUCUGGAACCCCAAAAAUUCUAAAAUAAAUUUCUUGACGUGAGGAAUUUAUCUAUUAAUCAUCUGCAAAAAUAAUUAACUAAAUAUCACUUUCAAAAUAAAAAUUACAGCAGUUCUCGUGAGCGCUAAAGUUUCUGUUUUUUACAGCAAGUUCAACAAGACUUUCCCCAAGUCUUCCCAACGGUUCUACUUGGCACAAACACUAAUUAAACACAAAAACACAACCAAAACAGAGGCUAGAUAAUUUAUUUAUUACUAAACAGGAGCAAAAAUCAAGGAAUAAAAAUAAAAUUGAGUUGCCUCCCAACAAACGCUAUCGUUUAACGCCCCUAGCUAGGCAUAACAAGCAAGAAUAGAUCUAGGUAUUGCCAUCUUUGGUAGGCAAUCCAUAAGUGGAUCUCAUAAUAGAUUCAUAAGGUAAUUUAAUUUAAUUUAUAGGAAAGUGUUUCAUGCCUUUCCUUAAUGGAAAUUGGAAUCUAAUAUUUCCUUCCUUCAUAUCAAUAAUUGCACCAAUCGUUCUAAGGAAAGGUCUACCAAGAAUAGUAGGACAUGGAGGAUUGAAAUCUAUGUCAAGAACAAUAAAAUCUACGGGCACAUAAUUCCUAUUUGCAACAAUAAGAACAUCAUUAAUUCUUCCCAUAGGUUUCUUAAUAGUGGAAUCCGCAAGGUGCAAGUUUAGAGAGCAAUAUCAAAAUCACGGAAACCUAACAAAUCACACAAAGUCUUUGGAAUCGUGGAAACACUAGCACCCAAAUCACAUAAAGCAUAGCAUUCAUGAUCUUUAAUUUUAAUUUUAAUAGUUGGUUCCCACUCAUCAUAAAUUUUUCUAGGGAUAGAAACUUCCAAUUCAAGUUUUUCUUCAUAAGAUUGCAUCAAGGCAUCAAUGAUAUGUUUAGUAAACGCUUUAUUUUGACUAUAAGCGUGAGGAGAAUUUAGCACGGAUUGCAAUAAGGAAAUACAAUCAAUCAAAGAGAAAUUCUCAUAGUUAAAUUCCUUGAAAUCCAUAAUAGUGGGUUUAGCAACAUCUAGAGUUUUAAUUUCUUCAAUCCCACGUUUAUCAAAUUUAGCAUCAAGAUCAAAAUAUUCAGAAUUCUUGGAACACCUUCUAGGUAAAGGUGGAUCAUAAUCAGUCCCAUCACUAUCAAGAUUCAUAUUGCAAAACAAAGAUUUAAUAGGGGGCACAUCAAUAACUUUUAGAUCUUCAUCUUUAUUUUCAUAGGAACUAGAAGAACACGCUCUUAUAAAGGCAUCUUUCUUAGCACGUAUCCUAGCGGUUCUUUCUUUGCACUCAUCAAUGGAGAUUCUCAUGGCUUUGAGAGACUUAUUGAUAUCAUGCUUAGAUGGAAUAGAUCUAAGUUUCAAAGAAUCAACAUCAAGAGCAAUUCUAUCAACGUUCCUAGCCAAAUCAUCAAUCUUAAGCAAUUUUUCUGCAAUCAUAGCAUUAAAAUUCUUUUAUGAAGUAAUAAAUUCUUUAAUAUUAGAUUCAAAAUCAGAGGGCAUCUUAUUAUAAUUUCCAUAAUAAUUUUUCUAGGAAUUACCAUAAUUAUUAGAGGGAUUACUAGGAUAAGGCCUAGGAUUAAAAUUUCCUCUAUACGCGUUUUUACCAAAAUUGUUCCUACCAACAAAAUUCACAUCCAUAGAUUCAUUAUUAUUCUCAAUCAAAGUAGACAAGGGCAUAUCAUUAGGAUCAGAAGAAACACUGUUAUUAGCAAAUAAUUUCAUAAGUUCAUCCGUCUUUCCACUCAAAACAUUAAUUUCUUCUAUCGCAUGUACCUUUUUAUUAGUAGAUCUUUCGGUAUGCCAUCGAGAAUAAUUAACCAUAAUAUUAUCUAGGAGUUUAGUAGCUUAUCCUAAAGUGAUUUCCAUAAGAGUGCCUCCCACGGCCGAAUCUAAAAGAUUUCUAGAAGCAAAAUUCAAUCCGGCAUAAAAAUUCUGAACAAUCAUCCAUAAAUUCAAACCAUGAGUAGGGCAAUUACGUAUCAUUAAUUUCAUUCUCUCCCACGCUUGUGCAACAUGUUCAUGAUCAAGUUGCUUAAAGUUCAUAAUAUCAUUUCUAAGAGAGAUGAUCUUAGCGGGAGGAAAAUACUUAGAGAUAAAAGCAUCGUUGCACUUAUUCCAUGAAUCAAUACUAUUUUUAGGCAAAGACGAAAACCAAGCUUUAGCAUGAUCUCUAAGCGAAAAAUGAAAUAGCUUCAAUUUAACAAUUCCAUUAUCCACAUAUUUCUUCUUUUGCAUGUCACACAAAUCAACGAAGCUAUUUAGAUGGGUACCGGCAUCUUCACUAGGAAGGCCGGAAAACAGAUCUUUCAUCACAAGAGUCAGCAAAGCAGCAUUAAUUUCACAAGAUUCAGCAUCGGUAAGAGGGGCAAUCGGUGUGCUAAUAAAAUCAUUGUUGUUGUUAUUGGUGAAGUCACACAAUUUAGUAUUAUCUUGAGCCAUCGUGACAAGCAAGAAAACUAACACACAAGCAAACAAAAAGCAAGCGGACAAAAGGAGGCAAAUAGAGAGGGAGGAUAGGGAGAGAGAGGGCGAAUAAAACGGCAAGGGUGAAGUGGGGGGAGAGGAAAACGAGAGGCAAAUGGCAAAUACUGUAAUGCGGGAGAUAAGGGUAUGUGAUGGGUACUUGGUAUGUUGAAUUUUGCGUAGACCUCCCCGGCAACGGCGCCAUAAAUCCUUCUUGCUACCUCUUGAGCACGGCGUUGGUUUUCCCCGAAGAGGAAGGGAUAAUGCAGCAAAGUAGCGUAAGUAUUUCCCCUCAGUUUUUGAGAACCAAGGUAUCAAUCCAGUAGGAGGCUACACGCGUGUCCCUCACACGUGCACAAAACAAAUAAAUCCUCGCAACCAACGCAAAUAGGGGUUGUCAAUCCCUAUAGGGCCACUUACGAGAGUGAGAUCUGAUAUAUAUGAUAAGAUAAUAUUUUUGGUAUUUUUAUGAUAAAGAUGCAAAGUAAAAAUAAAGGCAAAGUAAAUAGCAAAGGAAAUAACUAAGAAGUAGGAGAUUAAUAUGAUAAAGAUAGACCCGUGGGCCAUAGGUUUCACUAGUGGCUUCUCUCGAGAGCAUAAGUAUUCUACGGUGGGUGAACAAAUUACUGUUGAGAAAUUGACAGAAUUGAGCAUAGUUAUGAGAAUAUCUAGGUAUGAUCAUGUAUAUAGGCAUCACGUCCGAGACAAGUAGACCGAGACUCCUGCCUGCAUCUACUACUAUUACUCCACUCAUCGACCGCUAUCCAGCAUGCAUCUAGAGUAUUAAGUUAAAAACAGAGUAACACCUUAAGCAAGAUGACAUGAUGUAGAGGGAUAGACUCAUGCAAUAUGAAGAAAACCCCAUCUUGUUAUCCUCGAUGGCAACAAUAUAAUACGUGCCUUGCUGCCCCUACUGCACUAGGAAAGGACACCGCAAGAUUGAACCCAAAGCUAAGCACUUCUCCCAUUGCAAGAAAGAUCAAUCUAGUAGGCCAAACCAAACUGAUAAUUCGAAGAGACUUGCAAAUAUAACCAAUCAUACAUAAAAGAAGUCGGAGAAGAUUCAAAUAUUAUUCAUAGAUAGACUUGAUCAUAAACCCACAAUUCAUCGGUCUCAACAAACACACCGCAAAAAGAAGAUUACAUCGAAUAGUUCUCCAUAAGAGAGGGGGGAACAUUGUAUUGAGAUCCAAAAAGAGAGAAGAAGCCAUCUAGCUACUAACUAUGGACCCGUAGGUCUGAGGUAAAAUACUCACACUUCAUCGGAGAGGCUAUGGUGUUGAUGUAGAAGCCCUCCAUGAUCGAUGCCCCUCCGGCGGAGCUCCGGAACAGGCCCCAAGAUGGGAUCUCAUGGAUACAGAAAGUUGCGGCGGUGGAAUUAGGGUUUUGGUUCCGUAACUGAUCAUUUGGGGGUAUGUAGGUAUAUAUAGGAGGAAGAAGUACAUCGGUGGAGCAACAGGGGGCCCAUGAGGGUGGAGGGCACGCCUGGGGUAGGCAGGCGCGCCCCCCUACCUCGUGGCCUCCUGUUGUGUGCCUUGACGUAGGGUCCAAGUCUCCUGAGUCUUAUUCGAUGAGAAAAUCACAUUCCCGAAGGUUUCAUUCCGUUUGAUAUUCCUUUUCUUCGAAACCCUAAAACAGGAAAAAACAACAAUUCUGGGCUGGGCCUCCGGUUAAUAGGUUAGUCACAAAAAUAAUAUAAAAGUGGAUAAUAAAGCCCAAUAAUGUCCAAAACAGUAGAUAAUAUAGCAUGGAGCACUACAGGAAUCAACUACUUUGCCGUCUGCCACGGCGGACGGCAAAGGCAUGAACGGCGGACGGCAAAGGUCUUUGCCAUCUGCCGCGGACGGCAAAAGGCUCUGGCAAAGUAAGGUCUGACAAAGAGCUACUUUGCCAUCUGCUUUACGCGGCUGAUGACAAAGGUGCCUUUGCCAUCAGCAGCAGACAGCAAAGAAAGCAGACGGCAAAAAUUGCGCUGUUAGUCCGUUAGGUGGCUAACGGCAGGCCUUUGCCAUCCGCCGCUGACGGUAAAAUUUGUCCUGCCUUUGUCGUCCGCCGUAUGAUGUCAGCUAGACGUCACUACACGGCAGGCCUUUGCCGUCCGCCGCUGACGGCAAAAUUGUUUACUCUUUGUCGUCUGCCACUGUAGGCAAACUGACCAAAUGGGUUAGCUCCCAGGAAGCACAGUUGGCUGCCACGUGGUUUCUUUGCCGUCCGCAGCUGACGGCAAAGAGCCCGUUGCCGUCGGUGGCAGACGGCAAAGAGCCUGCAUAUUGGCUCUUUUUCUUUUUUUUAAUCCAAGAAUUUUCACAGCAAAUAUAUAUGACAUAUAUAGAUAUAUUUCACAGGGCUAUUUAACAGCAAACAUAUCACAUAUCCAGCACAUAAUUAAGUUUCAUCCAUUCAUACAUAAGCAAGUUCCAUCAAGUUCCAUCCAUACACAUUGUUCCAUCCAUAUACAUAUUACAAUGCAAAGUUUCAUCAAGAUAGCAAGUUCCAUCAUAGCAAGCUAGAUACAAUGCAAAGUUUCAUCAAAGAAAAAACAAGCACUCCAUCAUAGCAAGCUAGCUUCCAUGAAGUGAAUGAAAUCUACAAAAUGGCAAAUAACAAAGUUAGAAAUAUAUAGGUGACUAGAAGAAGACUAGAACAAGAAGUAUAUGUCAUUUAUGAGCUAACUUAGGUGAAAUGGAUCAUAUAUGAGCUAACUAAGUUGAAAUGGGUCGUUUAUGAGCUAACUAAGGUGAAAUGGAUCAUUUAUGAGCUAACUUAGUUGAAAUGGGUCAUUUAUGAGCUAACUAAGGUGAAAUGGAUCGUUUUUGAGCUAACUAAGUUGAAAUGGAUCGUUUUUGAGCUAACUUAGGUGAAAUAGAUCAUUUAUGAGCUAACUUAGUUGAAAUGAGUCGUUUAUGAGCUAACUAAGGUGAAAUGGAUCGUUUUUGAGCUAACUAAGGUGAAAUGGAUCGUUUUUUAGCUAACUUAGGUGAAGUGGAUCAUUUAUGAGCUAACUUAGUUGAAAUGGGUCGUUUAUGAGCUAACUAAGGUGAAAUGGAUCAUUUUUGAGCUAACUAAGGUGAAAUGGAUCGUUUUUUAGCUAACUUAGGUGAAAUGGAUCAUUUAAGAGCUAAUUUAGGUGAAAUGGAUCGUUUUUAGCUAACUUAGGUAAAAUGGGUCGUUUAUGAGCUAACUUAGUUGAAAUGGAUCGUUUAUGAGCUAACUUAGUAAAAAGCAUCAUUUUAGAGCUAACCUAGGUGUGAUGGGUCAUUUUGGAGCUAACCUAGGUAAGAUGGGUCAUUUUGGAGCUAACCUACGUGAAAUGGGUCAUUUUAAAGCUAAGGUAGGUAAAAUGGAUCAUUUGGGAGCUAAUCUAGGUAAAAUGGGUCAUUUUAGAGCUAACUUGGAUAAACUGGAUCAUUUAUAAGCUAACUAAGAUAAAAUGGGUCAUUUUAGAGCUAACUUGGGUAAAAUGGAUCAUUUAUGAGCUAACUAAGCUAAUUAUCCAAUUUUUGACAUAAGUAAGCUAAGUACAAAUCGUUUUAGAGCUAACUUAGGUAAAUUGGAUGGUUUUGGAGGUCAGUAAGCUUAUUAAGUCAUUUUGAAGGAAAAGAAGCUAACUCUAGGUCAUUAUGGUAAGCAUAUUGGAGGAAAUAAAGCUAAGUCUAGGUCUUUAUGCAUUUGUUAAGCAAAACACUAGAGAAAGUUACCGUGAUCAUGGAGGUGUAGGAGCGGGCUGGCUCGUGCCGGUAGCUGGAGAAGGAUCGUGCGAUGCUUGUCUGGAGUUACGUUGCACCAAUGAUCAUUACCAAUGUCUCGUUACCAUGAUGACACUCAAAUAUUAAGACUAGCAAGUAAUGUCCAUUCAAAUUAAACUCACCGUGGUCCCAAGAGCAAUCACUGGCAUCGGCGGAGCGGUCUGACCGGACUUCUCACACACAGACUGCACAUUUGGUUUUGACAAACACAGUCAUAGUAGUUAGUAAUGAUACAAACACUACAUGAAUAUUUUGGCUAAUCUUCAGAAGAAACUUACCACAAGGAGCUCGUACAUGGCCAUUGCCUGCAUGUCAUUUUGUGCCCUCUCCUCCUCCAACAUCUUUGUCGUCCUCUCCUCCAACUCCCGCUGCCUUUCCGCCGCCUCCGCCAGAAGUUUCUCCGUUCUAUCUCUCUCACUCUGUAUAGCAGCCUGCAACACCACUCACAUGACCAUUUGUAAUCAUUGAUGGAAGCGCACACAAUGUAAUGGAGAAAGAUAGCUGAGUACGUAUAACUAACCUUGAAGGUGAGUUGGACUGGCCGUUCACGAGGCCUUAUCUCAGGAGCGGAGCUCGACUAGCGUGCCUUGAUCUCCGGGAGAGUGCUAGGACAACGGAUAAGUCCAUCUCCCAUGGCUAUGGAGCCAUGGGACCUCCUGCCACCAGAUAUCAUCAGCAGCUCUGUAUCAAUGGGACCAUGGCUCGGGUUAAAGUCCUCCCCUUUCCUCGCCUUCCCCUGAUCUCUAUAUUGCAUGAGCUUGUCGUGGGAGGAGAUGUUGGUGAAGUUCUUUGGAUCAUCGAGGUCAGACGCAGAGAAUGCCUUGACUUUCUUGUAAGGGCCAGUGUGGGCCAUGGCAUACAGGUCGUACACCUCUGGCACCUUAUCCGCCUUAUUGUAGCAUGCCUGAAAGAGAGAAACAAAGUUAAUUAGUAAUUAAAGGGCUAAAGAUAGCAUGAUGAAUGAAUUGCAUGAAUCAUGAAGCAAACCACAUACCCAGUUCUGCCCGAACUGAAAUAAGUUGGAGCUGCCUUAAUGGUGUGGCACACCUUCCAUUUGGGCACGUUUGUCCUUGGCCUCGUUGUGGAGGUCUAGCCAUUCAUUUGAGCACCACUCAUUGACCAACACCUCCCAACAAUCCAUCCGAUCCGCACACCAUCUCGGAGGGGCCUAAGUUAGCAAAUAGAAACUUGAGUGCUACGGCUAUGAAUUACUAAAUGAAGGAAGUAAGUACAAGGCCUUAAGAAUUACCUUCAUGUACUACUCCUUACUCAAGAACUUCUCGCGGCACGCCGACUUGGUCUUCUUGAUACCACGCGAGGCGUAGUAGUCUCAAACAGCCUGCACCCGAGCCUCGUGAUGUAAGUUCUGUAGUAGGCGCUUGCAGACGUUAUCGAUAACAUUUGCCGCUUCCUCCUCGUAUCCCUCCUCACACCCGUAGAAUGUCUGCAAUCAAAUGAGAGAAUAUUGAUUAGUACAAUUAAUAACUAGCUAGUUUAAGAUUUUUAAUUGUGUAAAGGAGAAAUUACCCAGAACUUUCUGAUCACCACGUCUGCCCUCGCCUUGCACAAGACACCGUCGAUAAUCUCACCCGGCAGGGCCGAGGCAGCCAAGUAGUGCUCCCAACUCAAUCCAAGCUCUGGAAGCCGACCCUCACCAGGCAACAUGACAAACCCCGGGAAGUUUUGCCUACUAAGAACUCCAAGGACGGAGUUGGGCCGGCGGACACUAUACAAUGAAAUGGUCCGCCAUUCUUCAUUAUCCAAAGAUACUGGAUUUGAAACACUGGCUGGUGCGAGAUUCCCUUUGAAUAGGCUGAGGUUGGAUCCACCCUUUUUAGGGUCGUCAGCAUUGUAUCGAGGCUUCGGAUUAUGCAAAUGACGAUUUUUGGCUUCGUAGUGUGCUGUCACGAUGUUUGCCGCCUCCUCAGUGAUGAAUGCCUCAGCCAUCGAUGCUUCAAUUCUACGUUUAUUUUUACAUUUUUCUCGAAGCGUCUUCUGCAUCCUCUCAGUUGGGUAGCACCAACGAUUUUGCACAGGCCCCCCAAAACUUGCCUUGGUCGGGAGAUGCAAAAUCAAAUGCUGCAUUGGAUUAAAGAAGCCCGGUGGAAAGAUCUUCUCUAACUUGCAGAUCAACUCCGGCGCCAACUCUUCCAUUUCUUCUAGCACGCCAGGCGAUAGUUCUUUCGCACAAAGAAAAUAGAAGAAAUAGGUGAGUUCUGCCAGUACUAGCCAUUCACCCUCAGGGAUGAAGCCACGCAACAUCACCAGCAUUACCCGCUCAAUCCAUAUGUGCCAAUCAUGACUCAUGAGACCAAAUAUCUUCAAUUUAUCAAGACUCACUCCCCUCUUUAGAUUCGCUGCAUACCCAUCGGGGAACAUCAACUGCAUUUUCACCCACAAGAUAAUUUCCCUCAUAGCUGGCCUUCCAAGAUUGAACCAUGCCUUUGGCUUCGUCUAGUUCUGCUUUCGUUUCGAUUCUUUCAUGUUUUGUAACGGCCUAUCACAUAGCGCCUCCAGAUCGACUCUAGCCUUAGUAUUAUCCUUUGACUUCCCAUCUAUGCCGAACAAUGUACCAAAAAGUGCCUCGGUGAUAUUCUUCUCAGUGUGCAUCACGUCGAUGUUGUGUGGGCAAAGGAGGUCUUUGAAGUAAGGCAGAUCCCAUAAGCAUGUUUUGUGAGUCCAGGCGUGCUUAGAAUUAUAUCCCUUGAAGUACCCUGGACGCUCUGGAUCUGGCUCGAGAGCGUUUAACUGAUCCAGGGUCUGUUGGCCUGUCAACGUAGGUGGUGCAGAGUUUUUGACAACUAUACCUCUGACGAAGUUCUUCUUGUCUUUCCUGAACUUAUGGCGAGGAUCCAGGAACUGUCUAUGCAUGUCGAAGCAAGAAAACUUGCGACCGGCCUGAAGCCAACGAAACUCAAGAGAUCCCUUGCAUGUGGGGCACGGGAACCUUCCAUGCACACACCAGCCAACGAAUAGCGCAUACGCCGGCAAGUCAUGCGUCGAGUACAUGUACCAGACACGCAUUAUGAAGUUCUAUUUGCUAUAGGCGUCGUAUGUCUUGAACCCAUUAUCCCAGGCUUCUUGCAAUUCGUCCUUAAGCGGUUGCAUGUACACAUUCAUAUUUUUCCCCGGAUAGUUGGGCCCUGGAAUUAUCAACUCAGGAAAAUGUUCUUUCUUUGCAUAAUCUGUCCGCGAGGGGGGGGGGAGAUAGAGUGGAAAGACAAAUAUGGGCCAACAAUUGUAUUGGGCUGCCGUCAUACCAAACACACUGAACCCAUCCGUGUUGAUGCCGACUCGAGGAUGCCUCGGAUCUGCCGCUGCAUGUAAUUCAUCAAACUUUUUCCACGCAACACCAUCCGAUGUGUGUACCAUCAUCAGAUUCCCAUCUGCAUCUAGUUCGGUUCUUUUGCCUGUUUUGUGCCAUGUCAUCUGUCUGGACGUCUCUUCGACCAUGAAAAGAUGUUGAAGUCUUGGUACGAUUGGCAUAUACCGAAGAACACUAAUGGGGAUUUUGGACUGUGUCUUCUCACCCAUACCAUGAAGACUUGCAAAUGGGACAAUAGUUCAAGUCCGCAUAGUCAAGCCUAAAUAAGACACAUCCUUUCUCAUAGGCAUGUAUCUUCUCAUAGGGUAUCUUCAGUGCACGGAGGAUUUUGUCCGACUGGUACAGGUUUGCAGGCAUUACAUGGCCUUUGGGUAGAAAGCGUCCAAAUACUGUCAUAAUUGCGUCGUAGCAUUCUCUGACCAAGUUGAACUGAGCCUUCAGAGCCAUUACUUGUGAGAUUGCAUCCAACUGACAAAGCUCAGUGUGCUUGUGGAGCGGACGUUUUGAAGACUCCAACAUUUCAUUGAAGGCCUUUGCAGAUUCCUCCAUCUCCUCGUCCAAAUCCCGAGCAUCAUCAUAGUCUUGCACCAUGUUUUCCAUCCCGGUACCAUGCUCGUCGGUGCGACGACGAUCCACCUCAGCUCGGUCACGUUGGGCAGACUCACCAUGAAAUGUCCACACCGUAUAAUCGGGCGUAAAACAACUCUUAUGCAGGUGUUUGCCCAUUUCAGCCUCUGUCCUCUUUUCCCAAUUGCCGCACCGGAAACAGGGGCACCAGGUUUUCCUCUAGCCAUUUGCAAAUGCGGCUUGGACAAACCCCUUGAUUUUUGUGAAGCAUUCAGCGCUCCAUUUGUUCUGACCAGUGUGACCGGUAUACAUCCACGCACGAUCACUCAUCUUGACUUUCAGAGCUACUGGACACACAACAAUUAUAUAUAUAUAUAAUUCACCAUGUAUAUAUUCAUCAGUUGAUCUACUUUGUCAAUUUUAUUACAUACAUGCAACCUACACUCUAAUAGGUAAUGAUAGGUCCUAAUCCCACCCGAGUAUGUGUAGAUUGGGUUCAUUUUCCCAUGCUAUGCUCCGGAUCUGACGCAAAAUUUCGGCAGCACCUCCCCGUUGUUCUCUUGAUACACGUCUCUGCAAUAAACAGAGAGGAUGUGUACCCGGAGAACAACAGGGGAGGCACUGAUGAAAUUUAUGCGUCGGAUCCGGAGCAAAGCAUAUGGGAAAACGAACCCAAUCUACACAUACUCGGGCUGUCCAUGGAUAGCGUUGGACAAUUUGAAAGAAUCAAGGUUAUAAAUAUGCAAAUGCAUGCAUAUUUAUAACUAUGACGCUUUCGAACGGGAGACGCAUAUUGGUUACGCAUACUGAUGAUUCAAGACACAUAUAUAGCUAGCUAUCAAGUUUCAUCGGCACGAACACCGAAACAGAGCAAAUAAUUAAUGGGGGAGGAGGACAUGUCAUUUGUGCUCACCCACGAACGAAGGGACAUAGCUCGUCAAACGCACGGCGAGGUCGUCGAACACCAAACCUCGCAGUGAUGAAACAACUGCACAUUUAAAUCUACCUGAUCAACACAAUUAUAUAUGAUGUUUUUCAUAACAAAAUCGAAAAAUAUAUGACCUAACUAAUAAUUCACAAAUAUAUGACCCCAUCGGACUCUGGAAGGCCAAAGAACACCUUUUCGGGAGGUGUCAGGGGUCGGGGUGUCGUGUCGGUGUCGGGGUGCCGUGUCAGGGUCGGGGUGCUGUUUCGGGGUCGUGGGGUCGGGGUGUCGUGUCGCGGUCNNNNNNNNNNNNNNNNNNNNNNNNNNNNNNNNNNNNNNNNNNNNNNNNNNNNNNNNNNNNNNNNNNNNNNNNNNNNNNNNNNNNNNNNNNNNNNNNNNNNNNNNNNNNNNNNNNNNNNNNNNNNNNNNNNNNNNNNNNNNNNNNNNNNNNNNNNNNNNNNNNNNNNNNNNNNNNNNNNNNNNNNNNNNNNNNNNNNNNNNNNNNNNNNNNNNNNNNNNNNNNNNNNNNNNNNNNNNNNNNNNNNNNNNNNNNNNNNNNNNNNNNNNNNNNNNNNNNNNNNNNNNNNNNNNNNNNNNNNNNNNNNNNNNNNNNNNNNNNNNNNNNNNNNNNNNNNNNNNNNNNNNNNNNNNNNNNNNNNNNNNNNNNNNNNNNNNNNNNNNNNNNNNNNNNNNNNNNNNNNNNNNNNNNNNNNNNNNNNNNNNNNNNNNNNNNNNNNNNNNNNNNNNNNNNNNNNNNNNNNNNNNNNNNNNNNNNNNNNNNNNNNNNNNNNNNNNNNNNNNNNNNNNNNNNNNNNNNNNNNNNNNNNNNNNNNNNNNNNNNNNNNNNNNNNNNNNNNNNNNNNNNNNNNNNNNNNNNNNNNNNNNNNNNNNNNNNNNNNNNNNNNNNNNNNNNNNNNNNNNNNNNNNNNNNNNNNNNNNNNNNNNNNNNNNNNNNNNNNNNNNNNNNNNNNNNNNNNNNNNNNNNNNNNNNNNNNNNNNNNNNNNNNNNNNNNNNNNNNNNNNNNNNNNNNNNNNNNNNNNNNNNNNNNNNNNNNNNNNNNNNNNNNNNNNNNNNNNNNNNNNNNNNNNNNNNNNNNNNNNNNNNNNNNNNNNNNNNNNNNNNNNNNNNNNNNNNNNNNNNNNNNNNNNNNNNNNNNNNNNNNNNNNNNNNNNNNNNNNNNNNNNNNNNNNNNNNNNNNNNNNNNNNNNNNNNNNNNNNNNNNNNNNNNNNNNNNNNNNNNNNNNNNNNNNNNNNNNNNNNNNNNNNNGGAGAGAAGAGAGAGUAACGGGCGGGGGGUGGGGGCCGUUAGUUAGUCUGCUCUUUGCCGUCCGCCGCUCUUUGUCGUCCGCCUUUAUCUCUCUUUGCCGUCUGCUGGCAGACGGCAAAGAGGUGGGGCGUUAAGUUUUUUCUAAACGGGAGGGGGGUGGGGGCCACCUCUCUCUUUACCGUCAGCCAGCUGACGGCAAAAAUUCUUUGCCGUCAGCUAGCUGAUGGCAAAGAGCCGGCAGAUAGCGAAGGCAUGUUUUUGCCGUCUGCCAUUUCUUUGCCGUAUGCUUUUCGGUAGCUGAUGGCAAAGAGCUUCUUUGCCGUCUGCUAGCAGACGGCAAAGAGCUGGCAGAUGGCAAAGUAGCUGAUUCCAGUAGUGAAGCAAUCAAAAAUUAUAGAUACGUUGGAGACGUAUCAAUUGUCACCGAUAAAGAAGAAAUAUUUUAUGACGGCAUUUUGAAUUGCGGAGAAAUUUAAGGUUUAUGUUUGGUGGAUUAGUCUCCUGUUGAUGCUACUUGUUUGCAUUUAACAAAUUGUUUGCCCUAUGUCAGCUAGUAAUACAAUCUAUCAUUUUGUUUAACUUUUUAGGAUAAGUGGAGAAAUCUAUGGAAAUCCUUAACCUUCUCGCUAGAUUGUCGGGUGCGGCUUGGAUAGUAGGGUAUAUACAUGUGAACAAGUAAGCAUUGUAUGUGUAGAAAGCAUUGCAUCGCUACAUAUAACAAUAGCCUUACAACGAAAAAAUAGUUCAUGAUAUAAAUGGCAUCCACAAGCCGGACCCUCAAAUUAAGAUUCUAAUAGCAUACUAUAUAAUAAAGUAGAAAGACAUUUUAAUGUAGAAUGAAGCCACACAGAUCAAGGCGCCCGACCGUGACAGAAAUCCAGCCAUCUCUCCCUUUGCUCCUAGUUCUCCGAUCUCGCCUGCAUCGUCGCCGAACGUAGUAUCUCCUCGGCCAAGAGAGAUCGGUUAUGUGGGCACAAUUGUUGCAUCUCCUCGGACAGAGUCUGAGAGACGACCGCCAGUGCCAAUUUCUCAUUACCGAUGAACUCCAUCCUUGCCUCCUACUCCUUGGCACAACGAAUCCGAGCCAGGCGCGAUGCGAGCGGGGUCUGCUCUUGCUCGUCCUCCCACGCCCUUUUGCGCCUGAUUUCCUCAAUCUUCUUUGCUGUUGAGAUUUGUUCUAGCAUGUCUUUGUUGUCCUCCAAGGGCCCCAUCCAUGCUCUCAAUCUCCUCUCGUCCCCCCCUCUCCCCGUUGGUUCCACCUUAAACUCGACGCAAUCAGGAGUAUCAUCGAAGCUGGAGGUGCGGUGUCGCGGCGAUGUGUGCGGCCGGUGUCGAUCGGCGGGCGCCAUCGAUCGUGACGGUGCAACAUAUAUGAAGGUGGGGAGGCCUGUACAAAGAGAAACAAAUUAAUUAAUAGGUAUACAAACUAUCUUAGUGUUUGCUCAAAAAACCUUUCAUCAUUAAUUAGUUCGUUUAUAAUCACAAUCAUUUCCAUAUAAUGAUUUCAUCAUCCACAUAUAUUAAACGACCAUCCAUGCAUAUAAUCCAUCAAAUCCAUAUCAAAUUUCAAUCUAUAUACUAUGUCGAUCAUCGAUCCAAUAAUUUUCUAUCAAAAUUAUUGCUCAAAUCACGCACAUUGACAUGACCUAUAUAUAAUAUAUCUAUACAAAUUAUAACAUGUGCAAUCAUACAUGAAGAAAAUAUAAACAAAAACAUAUAUCAUCCAUACUAUUCGUUCACAUCCAUAUGAUCACAUUUAUAAUAUAUAUUCAAUCUUUUUACUGCCAGAAACAUUUUCAUGCAAUCGAUCUAUAUAUCCAUAUCAAAUUUCAAUCUAGCUAUAUGGAUCCAAAUAUUUUGCCUCCACACAUACACAUAUGCAAUUUAACUAUCAUAAUCCACAUACAUGCAUGCAUUUAUCAAAGUUAUAGAGAUGGAGCUCACCUCAGUGCCUGACGACGAUGAGAGAUGUGUGGGGAAUGUUGCAGAAAACAAAAAAAAAU